rnacentral:tRNA from 1 species
GCGGCACUAUGGUCAAAUGGUAAAA